rnacentral:rRNA from 1 species
UGGGGAAUUUUCGACAAUGGGGGAAACCCUGAUCCAGCCAUCCCGCGUGUGCGAUGAAGGCCUUCGGGUUGUAAAGCACUUUUGGCAGGAAAGAAACGUCAUGGGUUAAUACCCCGUGAAACUGACGGUACCUGCAGAAUAAGCACCGGCUAACUACGUGCCAGCAGCCGCGGUAAUACGUAGGGUGCAAGCGUUAAUCGGAAUUACUGGGCGUAAAGCGUGCGCAGGCGGUUCGGAAAGAAAGAUGUGAAAUCCCAGAGCUCAACUUUGGAACUGCAUUUUUAACUACCGGGCUAGAGUGUGUCAGAGGGAGGUGGAAUUCCGCGUGUAGCAGUGAAAUGCGUAGAUAUGCGGAGGAACACCGAUGGCGAAGGCAGCCUCCUGGGAUAACACUGACGCUCAUGCACGAAAGCGUGGGGAGCAAACAGG